UACGAAGGGGGCUAGCGUUGCUCGGAAUCACUGGGCGUAAAGGCGCGUAGGCGGAUCUUUAAGUCGGGGGUGAAAGCCCAGGGCUCAACCCUGGAAUUGCCUUCGAUACUGAAGAUCUCGAGACCGGAAGAGGUAAGUGGAACUGCGAGUGUAGAGGUGAAAUUCGUAGAUAUUCGCAAGAACACCAGUGGCGAAGGCGGCUUACUGGUCCGGUACUGACGCUGAGGUGCGAAAGCGUGGGGAGCAAACAGG
rnacentral:rRNA from 1 species